CCUACGGGUGGCAGCAGUGAGGAAUAUUGGUCAAUGGACGAGCGUCUGAACCAGCCAAGUAGCGUGAAGGAUGACUGCCCUAUGGGUUGUAAACUUCUUUUAUAUGGGAAUAAAAUGUUCCACGUGUGGGAUUUUGUAUGUACCAUAUGAAUAAGGAUCGGCUAACUCCGUGCCAGCAGCCGCGGUAAUACGGAGGAUCCGAGCGUUAUCCGAAUUUAUGGGGUUUAAAGGGAGCGUAGGUGGAUUGUUAAGUCAGUUGUGAAUGUUUGCGGCUCAACCGUAAAAUUGCAGUUGAAACUGUCAGUCUUGAGUACAGGAGAGGUAGGCGGAAUUCGUGGUGUAGCGGUGAAAUGCUUAGAUAUCACGAAGAACUCCGAUUGCGAAGGCAGUUCACUGGACUGCAACUGACACUGAGGCUCGAAAGUGUGGGUAUCAAACAGGAUUAGAUACCCUGGUAGU
rnacentral:rRNA from 1 species